GUAUACGACCGUACCGCAAACCGACACUGGUGCGCGAGAUGAGUAUUCUAAGGCGCUUGAGAGAACUCAGGAGAAGGAACUCGGCAAAUUGACACCGUAACUUCGGAAGAAGGUGUGCCCUAUUAGUGUGUAGUGAACAACGAAGCAUGAAUGGGUUGCAAAAAAUCGGUGGCUGCGACUGUUUAUUAAAAACACAGCACUCUGCAAACACGAAAGUGGACGUAUAGGGUGUGACGCCUGCCCGGUGCUGGAAGAUUAAAUGAUGGGGUGCAAGCUCUUGAUUGAAGUCCCAGUAAACGGCGGCCGUAACGAUAACGGUCCUAAGGAAGCGAAAUUCCUUGUCGGGUAAGUUCCGACCUGCACGAAUGGCGUAACGAUGGCCACACUGUCUCCUCCUGAGACUCAGCGAAGUUGAAAUGUUUGUGAUGAUGCAAUCUCCCCGCGGAAAGACGGAAAGACCCCAUGAACCUUUACUGUAGCUUUGUAUUGGACUUUGAACAGAUCUGUGUAGGAUAGGUGGGAGGCUUUGAAGCAGGGUCGCUAGAUCUUGUGGAGCCAACGUUGAAAUACCACCCUGGUGUGUUUGAGGUUCUAACCUAGGUCCAUUAUCUGGAUCGGGGACAGUGCAUGGUAGGCAGUUUGACUGGGGCGGUCUCCUCCCAAAGCGUAACGGAGGAGUUCGAAGGUACGCUAGUUACGGUCGGACAUCGUGACGAUAGUGCAAUGGCAUAAGCGUGCUUAACUGCGAGACUGACAAGUCGAGCAGAUGCGAAAGCAGGACAUAGUGAUCCGGUGGUUCUGUAUGGAAGGGCCAUCGCUCAACGGAUAAAAGGUACUCUGGGGAUAAUAGGCUGAUACCGCCCAAGAGUUCAUAUCGACGGCGGUGUUUGGCACCUCGAUGUCGGCUCAUCUCAUCCUGGGGCUGUAGCCGGUCCCAAGGGUAUGGCUGUUCGCCAUUUAAAGAGGUACGUGAGCUGGGUUUAAAACGUCGUGAGACAGUUUGGUCCCUAUCUUCCGUGGGCGCUGCAGAUUUGAGGAAGCCUGCUCCUAGUACGAGAGGACCGGAGUGGACACACCUCUGGUGUAUCGGUUGUCACGCCAGUGGCAUUGCCGAGUAGCUAAGUGUGGAAGAGAUAACCGCUGAAAGCAUCUAAGCGGGAAACUCGUUUCAAGAUGAGAUCUGCCGGGGCCUUGAGCCCCCUAAAGAGUCGUUCAAGACCAGGACGUUGAUAGGUCAGGUGUGGAAGUG
rnacentral:rRNA from 1 species